UACAGAGGGUGCGAGCGUUAAUCGGAAUUACUGGGCGUAAAGCGUGCGUAGACGGUUAUUUAAGUCCGGGUGUGAAAGCCCCGGGCUCAACCUGGGAAUUGCAUUCGAGACUGAAUAGCUAGGGUACGGUAGAGGGAAGUGGAAUUUCCGGUGAGCGGUGAAAUGCGUAGAUAUCGGAAAGGAACAUCAGUGGCGAAAGCGACUUCCUGGACCAGUACCGACGUUCAGGCACGAAAGCGUGGGGAGCAAACAGGA
rnacentral:rRNA from 1 species